rnacentral:rRNA from 1 species
GACGAACGCUGGCGGCGUGCCUAAUACAUGCAAGUUGAGCGGUGAAGGUUGGUACCUGUGCCAACUGGAUGAGCAGCGCACGGGUGAGUAACGCGUGUGGAAUCUGCCUUUGAGCGGGGGACAACAUGGGGAAACGAGUGCUAAUACCGCAGAAAAACUUUAAACACAGGGUUGAAGUGUGAAAUAUGCAAUUUCAUCACGCAAAGGUGAUCCCGCGUUUUGUUAGUUAGGUGGUGAGGUAAAGGCUCACCGAGGCGAUGAUACAUAGCCGACCUGAGUGGGUGAUUGGCCCGCUUGGGAGGGAGACCCGGCACAAAAUGCUACGGGAGGCAGCAGUAGGGAAUCUUGGGCAAUGGACGGAAGUCUGAGCGCGAAACGCCGAGGGAGGGAAGAAGGGCGUCGGAUCGGAAAACUCUGUUGGUAGGGAAGAAAGUGCGUGAGAGUGGAACGCUGAGCAAGUGACGGUAACUACCAAGAAAGGGACGGCUAACUACGUG